rnacentral:rRNA from 1 species
CGGAGGAAAAGAAACCAACUGGGAUUACCUUAGUAACGGCGAGUGAAGCGGUAAAAGCUCAAAUUUGAAAUCUGGUACUUUCAGUGCCCGAGUUGUAAUUUGUAGAAUUUGUCUUUGAUUAGGUCCUUGUCUAUGUUCCUUGGAACAGGACGUCAUAGAGGGUGAGAAUCCCGUUUGGCGAGGAUACCUUUUCUCUGUAAGACUUUUUCGAAGAGUCGAGUUGUUUGGGAAUGCAGCUCAAAGUGGGUGGUAAAUUCCAUCUAAAGCUAAAUAUUGGCGAGAGACCGAUAGCGAACAAGUACAGUGAUGGAAAGAUGAAAAGAACUUUGAAAAGAGAGUGAAAAAGUACGUGAAAUUGUUGAAAGGGAAGGGCAUUUGAUCAGACAUGGUGUUUUUUGCAUGCACUCGCCUCUCGUGGGCUUGGGCCUCUCAAAAAUUUCACUGGGCCAACAUCAAUUCUGGCAGCAGGAUAAAUCAUUAAGAAUGUAGCUACUUCGGUAGUGUUAUAGCUUUUUGGAAUACUGUUAGCCGGGAUUGAGGACUGCGCUUCGGCAAGGAUGUUGGCAUAAUGGUUAAAUGCCGCCCGUCUUG